UAUAGAUAUAGAUGUCGAAGAAAUCAAAAUCAACUUAUGAAUUAUCGAAUUGAUUCUUUCAACAAUCUAUGAAGUGUUACUAUUUUUGGAUUCAUUGCCAAGCAAUGAAGCAGUGCGUUUAACUAUUAACAGAAGAACUCCUUCAGGGGCUGUUGAAUGCAAAGAAGUAAACAAUGACCAAGAUACAAAUGAUUUUGGCAGUGCACAUC
rnacentral:lncRNA from 1 species